rnacentral:rRNA from 1 species
GAUGAACGCUAGCUACAGGCUUAACACAUGCAAGUCGAGGGGAAACGACAUCGAAAGCUUGCUUUUGAUGGGCGUCGACCGGCGCACGGGUGAGUAACGCGUAUCCAACCUGCCCAUCACUUGGGGACAACAUUGCGAAAGUAAGACUAAUACACAAUGAUAACUCUAGAAGACAUCUGAAAGAGAUUAAAGAUUUAUCGGUGAUGGAUGGGGAUGCGUCUGAUUAGCUUGUUGGCGGGGUAACGGCCCACCAAGGCAACGAUCAGUAGGGGUUCUGAGAGUAAGGUCCCCUACAUUGGAACCAAGACACAGUCCAAACUCCUACGCGAGGCAGCAGUGAGGAAUAUUAGGCGAUGGGCGAUAGCCUGAACCAGCCAAGUAGCUUGCAGGAAUCCGGCCCUAUUGGUUGUAAACUGCUUUUAUAAGAGAAUAAAGUGAGAGUCGUGACUCUUUUUGUAUGUACCUUAUGAAUAAGGACCGGCUAAUUCCGUG